rnacentral:rRNA from 1 species
UUGCUGUGUAAGUCCAUUGGGAAAUCGACCAGCUCAACUGGUCGGCGUCCGGUGGAAACUACACAGCUUGGGGCCGAGAGACUCAACGGGUACGUCCGGGGUAGGAGUGAAAUCCUGUAAUCCUGGACGGACCACCAAUGGGGAAACCACGUUGAGAGACCGGACCCGACAGUGAGGGACGAAAGCCAGGGUCUCGAACCGGAUUAGAUACCCGGGUAGUCCUGGCUGUAAACAAUGCUCGCUAGGUAUGUCACGCGCCAUGAGCACGUGAUGUGCCGUAGUGAAGACGAUAAGCGAGCCGCCUGGGAA